rfam:Camelus ferus unplaced genomic scaffold scaffold452, whole genome shotgun sequence.
GGGCAUAACUCAGUGGUAGAGCAUGUGCUUAGCGUGCAUGAGGUCCUGGGUUCAAUCCCCAGUACCUCCA